AUUUAAGUAGUUUAAAAUAAAAUAUUAAUUUGUGGAAUUAAAGAUGUAAAUUUAAUUUAUCUUAAAUU
rnacentral:tRNA from 1 species